UCAUAAAACUGAUACAGACGUAAGCGCUGUUCUCUCAAUGAGUAAACAUGGAUGUGAAAAAUCAAGGAAAGAAAACGAAAAAUAAAAGAAGACAUAAAUACUAACUGCAGUAAGCUAACAAGAAGUUGUUAAGUUUUGUUCCGAAUUUAUCUAUGGAAGCUUCUGAAACAAUUUCAUCAGGAAGUAGAUUCCACACAUUUGUCAAAUUUGGGCGUUCGUCAUUGACUGAGUUGCCGGUGAUCGCCGGCUGUUUUACUGUAAGGGUUCGUUCACACUACAAGCAGAGCAGAGCGGAGCAGAGCGGUUAGCGGCAUUAAUUUUGAUAUAGUUUUGAAUGUACAAACGCUCGGCUGUUCACACCACGAGCGGAGCGGCGCAGCGCGGAGCAGAGCAGAGAGCGGCACGCUUGGGAAAUUCGGAGGUAUUUUUUGCUGCUCGCUGCUAGCGGUCCUCCGCGGCUCCACCCUUUGAUGAGCAUGGCCAAGAAGCUAUCAACAAAGAUAAACACCGAUUAGUUUAUCGGGCUGUUGCCUGCCCGACCUGCUCUGUGGCAAAAAGCUCACCCAGACUUUCAAAAUCGAGAUAUCCGUGACACCUUCUUGCGUGAAAUGGCAGAUGAUUUAUCAGUCACCGUCAGUGAGGUCAAAGAGCGUCUGAAAACUCUAAAUGAUGCCAUGAAAAAGCACGUGAAUUCCCUGCUGAAAACAAGAUUUGGUGCCCCGGCCUUUGACAAGUCCUCUCAGAUAACAUGCCCUAUUUUACAAAGCUUCUCUUCAUGAAAAAUGAGUUCAUUGGACGUAAAAUGACAUCAAGUAACCCGGGGGAUACACAGUGCAGCGAACGAGACUACGAUGCCCAGAGCUUCGAUGACACAAACGACCAAAUGGAGGAAAAUAAUGAGGAAGAUUUGGUGGAGCAAGCACUACAGGCAUCUGGAAUAUCCUUAGCCGGAAACAGAUGUCCAAGCGAGGCCUCGACGUGUUCAGCUUCGCAGUCAAAGCGAAAAAGGUACAGAACAGCAUGUUCGGACAGCAUUGAGGAAGAGAAGCUCAAUCUAUUGAAAGAAACCUUUGCAAUUUCAAAGCAGAAAAUGGAAGAAACAAAAGACCCAUUGGAAAUGUUUGCUAUGGAUUUGGCCAAUGAUCUGAAGGAAGCUGGAAUUGAAGCAAAUAACUUCGAAGGCAUUACUGAAACAAACAGACACUAGUUGUGUCCAGAGAGCAUCUGACGUCCAGCAAACAUACGAAACUCUUGUGCUAACUAACCAAUAUUCUGACCCAACAGAUCCAACACAAUAUUCUUCAGUAUAUAAUCCUAACAAAUGGUAAUUGUCCAAAAAAGAACAUGCCAAAUUAGUAAAAGCUGUAGUCCUGUAAAGAGAUACAACACGUUAUGUAAAGACGUUAAUUUUGUUCAAACUACUUUGCUUUACAUGUAUCCUCAAUAAAAAUUAAAGACGUUAAUUUUGUUCAAA